UGCCGGAACCCUAAAUCAGCUCCUUGUGAGAAUUUUGACCAUUUUUUUGCCAUUUUUUAUGUAUUCUCAUGAUAUUUGACGUAUGUUUUGGUUUUAACAAAAAAAUCUAAGAAAUCCGGGAACUGGAAACCGCCAGAAAACGUAGUGAAAAAGGCAAUAUUCCGGACACCGAUUUAGGGUAAGAAUCUCUCACAUUUUUUUAUGUUACGACUAAAUUGAAGCUAAACUGAUAAAUAAAAAUUUUAGUUAAACUAUGGUCAUUUAAUUAAUUAAGUACAGGUGGCCAAUGGAGCAAAUAACUGGUCAAUCCAUACCUGCUUCGAGUU
rnacentral:lncRNA from 1 species